GGAGAAACUAGGAGGGAAAUAUUUGUCUCCUGUCAUUAAUAAAAUUAAGAUUAUAGUUACACUAAAGCCAGUAUAAUCUACAAUUUUAUAGCAUGACAGGAGGCUUCAUAUUUGCUGUUUUAACGCUCCGACAGCAAAGCAAAUGAAGCAUGAUCCGGUGGUCUAAAAUAAAAUUGGUGAAAGGUAUCUUCUGGGACCAGUCAGCUGAACGCAUAAUAUCCUGAAGGGA